rnacentral:rRNA from 1 species
UACGAAGGGGGCUAGCGUUGUUCGGAAUUACUGGGCGUAAAGCGUGCGCAGGCGGUUUUGUAAGCCAGAUGUGAAAGCCCCGGGCUCAACCUGGGAACUGCAUUUGGGACUGCAAGGCUGGAGUACGGCAGAGGGAGGUGGAAUUCCACGUGUAGCAGUGAAAUGCGUAGAGAUGUGGAGGAACACCGAUGGCGAAGGCAGCCUCCUGGGCUAGUACUGACGCUCAUGCACGAAAGCGUGGGGAGCAAACAGG